GAUCCACUCUCCAGGAGGGACAGACCUGCACAAAAGCUCUAAGAUGAAGGCUUUCUUCCUCCUGCUCCUUUUCUGUCUUGUGGCCCUGAUUGAGAUCGAGGCUUCUUCUGCCUCUACACCAACCACAAAGGCUGCAAGCGGUUCACCUCAGAUGUUCAAUGGAGCCUGCACCUGGGCCAUCCUUCUCCUCUCCAGCGUCCUCACCUACCUCCUUCGGCUGCACUGAGGCCUGGAACCAAGCCUUCCGAGACCAGCCCUGGCCCCUGCUCACUCACUCUUCAGCACUUGCCUCCUCCCUGAAGAGCCCAUCCCAUGUGGCUACCAAAGUGUCCUUUCCUUCAGGCCACCCCCUUCACCCCCAUCACCAUGGCCUCCCUCUCAGGACCUCUGAUGUCCAGUAGAACCCGGGCCAGCUAGAGUCAUGAGCUGAUUCCACAAUGCUUGAGGGCUGUCAUGAUGGGGGAGCAAAGUACUGAUCUGCUUGACUCAAUAAAGAUAUUGGAGCCCUGAA